rnacentral:rRNA from 1 species
UGGGGAAUAUUGCGCAAUGGGCGAAAGCCUGACGCAGCGACGCCGCGUGGAGGAUGAAGGCCUUAGGGUCGUAAACUUCUGUUAAGUGGGAAAAAAGAACUAUUGCUAAUACCAAUAGGUGAUGAUGGUACCACUAGAGAAAGCACCGGCUAAUCUCGUGCCAGCAGCCGCGGUAAUACGAGAGGUGCAAGCGUUAUUCGGAAUAAUUGGGCGUAAAGGGCGCGUAGAUGGUAUGUUAAGUUUGUUGUUAAAUCCUUCGGCUCAACUGAAGAUCAGCAACGAAAACUGGCGUGCUAGAGGGUGGAAGAGAGAAGUGGAAUUCUCGGAGUAGCGGUAAAAUGCGUAGAUCUCGAGAGGAACACCAAUGGCGAAGGCAGCUUCUUGGUCCACACCUGACAUUGAGGCGCGAAAGCGUGGGGAGCAAACAGG